rnacentral:lncRNA from 1 species
GGUUAGAGUUACUUGUGAAUUGGUAAAAAGCCACUAUGGAGACUAAGGACCAGAAGAAACACAGAAAGAAAAACAGUGGGCCCAAAGCUGAGAAGAAGAAGAAACGGCAUCUGCAGGAUCUCCAAAUUGGAGAUGAGGAAGAUGCCCGGAAGAGAAACCCCAAAGCCUUUGCAGUACAGUCUGCUGUGCGGAUGGCUCGAUCCUUUCACAGGUAUGUUUAGCUGGGGUCUAGCUGUUUUUCCAUUUAUCCUUUUUAUUCUUAUUUAUUUUUAAGGUUUUAUUUAUUUAUAUUGAGAGAGACAGAGACAGCACAAGUGAGGGAGGGGCAGAGAGAGAGAGAGGAGAGAGAGAGAGAGAGAGAAUCCCAAGCUGGCCCCACCCUGCCAGGGCAGAGCCUGAUGUGGGGCUCGAACCCACAAAGCUGUGAGAUCAUGACCUGAGCCGAAACCAAGAGUCGGACACUUAACCGACUGAGCCACCAAGGCGCCUCCCCAGAUGAUGCUUGGAUUCCUGAGUCUGUAACAACUUUGAAGGACAUGAAGAUACAUGCGAUAUUCCUUUUACUAAAAUGGGAACAUGUAGUCUUCCCUGUGGAAGGCACUUUGCCUCCAGUAUCAGCCUGUUGAUUGGCUUUUUUUUGCCCAAGAGAAAAGCUUCUGAGUUUUUCUUUAUAGAAUUUGUUUGUUCUGUAGUAAUAGGUGUGCUUGUUUUUUUUCUGAAUUUGUUUCAUAUAACUCAUAGUAAUAAGUAGCUUUAUUUAAUGAGUCCUUAUUUAUAUGCGAGGCGGUGUACUUUAAACAUUGCUGAAUUAAAUUCUCCUUAUAGGAGAGCCAAAUUUAACUUGAAAGCCUCUGCUGCUAUUCAUUGUGAUCUUCUGCCUGCAUGUUUACCUUUUUUUUUUUUUAAACUAUUACAGUCAUCUAAUAAAACAAUUAGAUUUAAGUUGUGUGUAGUUUCCAGUACUUUGUAUUGUCGAAGUCAGUUUGUUACGUAUUUACUGNNNNNNNNNNNNNNNNNNNNNNNNNNNNNNNNNNNNNNNNNNNNNNGCCACCAAGGCGCCUCCCCAGAUGAUGCUUGGAUUCCUGAGUCUGUAACAACUUUGAAGGACAUGAAGAUACAUGCGAUAUUCCUUUUACUAAAAUGGGAACAUGUAGUCUUCCCUGUGGAAGGCACUUUGCCUCCAGUAUCAGCCUGUUGAUUGGCUUUUUUUUGCCCAAGAGAAAAGCUUCUGAGUUUUUCUUUAUAGAAUUUGUUUGUUCUGUAGUAAUAGGUGUGCUUGUUUUUUUUCUGAAUUUGUUUCAUAUAACUCAUAGUAAUAAGUAGCUUUAUUUAAUGAGUCCUUAUUUAUAUGCGAGGCGGUGUACUUUAAACAUUGCUGAAUUAAAUUCUCCUUAUAGGAGAGCCAAAUUUAACUUGAAAGCCUCUGCUGCUAUUCAUUGUGAUCUUCUGCCUGCAUGUUUACCUUUUUUUUUUAAACUAUUACAGUCAUCUAAUAAAACAAUUAGAUUUAAGUUGUGUGUAGUUUUCAGUACUUUGUAUUGUCGAAGUCAGUUUGUUACGUAUUUACUGAAGGGGUCAUUUGGAUUGGGCCUAGAAGUUAACCAAUUAGUUGUAUCCAUGUUGUCUGUUCGGCUGUCUUUUUAAAAAUCUUUAUUUAUAAGGAUGAUGUCCUUCAUAUUUUGAAAGUGGAUUUACUUUUUUUUUUUCUUGUUACAAAUAGGACUCAGGAUUUGAAGACCAAAAAGCAUCACAUUCCAGUGGUUGAUCGAACUCCAUUAGAGCCCCCACCAAUAGUGGUAGUGGUGAUGGGGCCUCCAAAAGUUGGAAAGAGCACUUUGAUCCAGUGCCUAAUUCGGAACUUCACUAGGCAGAAACUGACAGAGAUCAGAGGCCCUGUUACAAUCGUGUCAGGUAGGAGCAUGCUACCCCAGGCUGAUAUGGCAUAUGUUGUCUGAGGGACAGGCUUGGCUUUGUUGAACAUUUCUAAAUGUUAAAGUAAUAUUGUCACUUCAUAUUACUUCUCUUGUGCUGAGUUGACUGUAGCUUCAGAAAAGGAUAGAUUCCCAAAAAUAAUAAUGAUGUAGAUGUAUACCCUAUUCUCACUGCUACAUGGAUUUGCUAUCUAUGAAAGGUUUGGCAGGCCUGGGCACCCUGGGUUGGUCCUGGUGACCACCUUCUUUUAACAGGGAGUGAGUAUCUCUAGUAUGUCAGGCAUACCUGCUCGCCCUCAUAAAGCCACAUUGUUAGGGAAGUGAGGGAGUUUUCCUCUCUUUUUCUGUGAGAAUCUGCCUGCUCUGGGAGAUGGUGACAUUUCUGUUUGAGGGAAAGUGAAACAAAUUCCCAAUAUGUCAAUGGAAGAAUCUAAGAUUUCUUUGUUGUUGGUGGUGUUGGUGUUUUAAAGAUUUUAUUUUUAAGUAAUCUCUUUACCCAACAUGGGGCUCAAACUCACAACCCUGAGAUCAAAAGUCACACACUCCACCUACUGAGCCAGCUAGGUGCUUCUGAAAUUCUUACUGUAGCAGUAAGGUAGUUGGAUUGAGACUUUUCUUUAUCUUAAAGGCAUGUCUAUCAUUUUAACUGAUUUUGUUUUCUUUCUUUCUGUUUUUUUGUUUUGUUUUGUUUUGUUUUGUUUUAAGUAAACUCUACCCCCAUUGUGGGGCUUGAACUCAUGACUCUGAGAUCAAGAGUUGCAUGCUCUGGCUAAAUCAGCCAGGUGCCCCAUUUUUUUCUUUUUUUUUUUAAUUUUUUUUCUUUUUGAGAGAGAAGGAGGGCACAAGUGAGUGAGGUGCAGAGAGAGAGAGAGAGAGAGGCAGGGGGAGAGAAUCCCACAAGGGAUAGUGAGAGAGAGGAGCAGGGCUCACCCAGAGUGGGGCUCAUGUUCACUAGAAGUGGGGUUCGAGCUCACCUGAAGCAAGGCUCAAACUCACCUGAAGCUGGGCUUGUGCUCAUCUGAUGUGGGGCUCGUGCUCACCUACAGCAGGGCUUGAACUCACAAACUGUGAGGUCAUGACCUGAGCUGAAAUCAGAUGCUUCAUAAUUGAGCCACCCAGACACCCUAAUUUUUUUUUAAGUAAUCUCUAACUCCAACUUGGGGCUCAAACUCCUGACUCCGAGAUCAAGAGUAGCAGACUGAUUUCUUUUAAUUUAGAAAUAACGAUUGUUCCAUGAAGAUUCUGUUACAUUAGGCUUGAGGAUGUUUUUAGCUAUAGUGAGAACAUGGGAAACUUUGAUAAAGAACGAAAUGUUGGCCUGCUGCUGAACAGCAGGAUCACGGUCAGCAUGAAGCUUUCUUGUCUGUCCAUUCCAGUCAGAAUUUUCCCUAUUUGAGCACUUUAUUCUUGUACAUAGACUUUUGGUAUUAUUUAUAAUUAAAGAAUAUAGAUAGCAAGAAAACGAAGGUGGAAUUUAUUAGUUUUCUCUCAUAAAAUUGAACUUCUGGCAUACUUUCUGUAAGUGUGUAUGGUACUUUAUUGGAUACAAUUUAAAAUAGUAAUUAGCGUUAAUAGCUACAUUUUUCCAAGAUUUUUUUAGAAGGAAACUUUUUGUCUUUUAUAGGUAAAAAGCGCAGACUUACCAUCAUUGAAUGUGGGUGUGACAUUAAUAUGAUGAUUGAUCUGGCUAAAGUGGCAGAUUUGGUAAGUCAGUAGGGACAGUCUGAAUUUCUGAGGAGGACUUAACAGCAGUGUGGUAGAUUAUUUUAUAUCUUAUGUUGAAGGAAAGAAAGGCUUAUGAUUAUUAAAGGAAUGAUGAGUCUAAUCAGGGAUACCAUAGAUGUGUUUGAAUUGAUGAUGAUGAUAUUGUUACAAUAAAAAUGGAAUAUGCACAUUGAAAUGUAUUCUCAAAUCUAAAAGAAAAUUACAGAGAAAACAGUUAAUGAUCAUUGCUAAUUAAGAUAUACAGAUAGACAUACUGGCAUACAAAUAUAUAAUAGUAAAUACUAUUUCUUGGACUCUUAUGAGGCACUGUGCUAACACCUUUCUGGAAAUUUAGUUCAUCUAAUCCCCCAGUAUGCCCUAGAGGUAAGUAGGUAUUUUCUCUAGUUUACAUAGGAUGAAAUGGAGGUCCUAGAAGUUAAGUAGUUUGUCUGAGGAUGGGGACUCUGUUCUUGAUGGUGCCAGAACCUUUGUUCUUUUUUCUCUUUAGUUUUUUUUUUUAAUUUAUUUAUUUAUUUUGAGAGAGAGAGAGAGCGCGCACGCACAAGUGAGUUGGGAGUGGGGCAGAGAGAGAGGGAGAGAGAGAAUCCUAAGCAGGCUUUGCACUGUCAGCACAGAGCCCGACACAGGGCUCGAAACCACAAACCAUGAGAUCAUGACCUGAGCUGAAAUCAAGAGUCAGAUGCUUAAUUGACUGAGCCACCCAGGUGCCCCCAGAACCUCCAUUCUUAAUGAUUAUGACAAAAUAAGUACAUGAGUUGCCUUGGAGAAGUUGUCAGAAUUUAUGAUAAAAAACCUAGAUAGUAUGCAGCAUAUGGAAAUUGUGUAGUUUUGAUUGCAUUUAAUGGUAAUGUUCAUUAAGUUCUUUUUUCUUUGAAGUUUAUUUAUUUAUUUUGAGAGAGAGAGAGCAAGCAUGAUCAGGGGAGGGGCAAAGAGAGAUGGAGAGAGAGAAUCCUAAGCAGGCUCUGAGCUGUGAGCACAGAGCCUGAUGCAGGGCUUAAACCCGUGAACCGUGAGAUCAUGACCUGAGCUGAAAUCAAGAGUCAGACGCUUAAUUGACUCAGCCACCCAGGUGCCCCCAGAACUUCCAUUCUUAAUGAUUGUGACAAAAUAAGUACAUGAGUUGCCUUUGAGAAGUUGUCAGAAUUUAUAAUAAAAAAUCUAGAUAGUAUGCAGCAUAUGGAAAUUGUGUAGCUUUGAUUACAUUUAGUGGUAAUGUUCAUUAACUUUUUUUUUNNNNNNNNNNNNNNNNNNNNNNNNNNNNNNNNNNNNNNNNNNNNNNNNNNNNNNNNNNNNNNNNNNNNNNNNNNNNNNNNNNNNNNNNNNNNNNNNNCAGGGAGAGAGAGAGAGAGAGAGAGAGAGAGAGAGAAUCCCAAGCAGGCUCCGAGCUGUCAGCGCAGAGCCCGAUGCAGGGCUUGAACCCACGAACCGUGAAAUCACGACUUGAGCUGAAAUCCAGAGUUGGACGCUCAACCAAGUGUUCCUAGUUACAUUUUAAAUUAACAAAAAUAAAUCCAAUUAAAAAAAACGUAAGGCCGUAUUGAUUAGGAAGAUUGGAGUAACAGAGGCCUCUUUUUGUUUGUUUUUGGUUCAACAAUUUCUGGAAAGCUGCUUGGUGACCAAGAGCUACAGAUUUUAUCCUGUGGCCUAGGAAGUCUUCUAAAAUAGAAAAUAAAAAGUAAUUUAAUGUGAAUGUUAUAGCUGUGCCAUUAUAAUAUCAGAAAACUAGGGGCGCCUGGGUGGCGCAGUUGGUUAAGCGUCCGACUUCAGCCAGGUCACGAUCUCGCGGUCCGCGAGUUCGAGCCCCGCGUCGGGCUCUGGGCUGAUGGCUCAGAGCCUGGAGCCUGUUUCCGAUUCUGUGUCUCCCUCUCUCUCUGCCCCUCCCCCGUUCAUGCUCUGUCUCUCUUUGUCCCAAAAAUAAAUAAACUUUGAAAAAAAAAAAUAAUAUCAGAAAACUAAAUACCAUUCAAAUUUUGAAUGCUACUAUUAAUAUAAUGCUACUAUUAAUAAAAAUAAGUGUUAUUGUCGGUAAAAAAUAGUAUAAACAUAUUAAAUCUUGUGUUUUUGAAAUGAUUAAAGUAGAUUCGCGUAUAAGUCAUUGUUUUUUGUUUGUUUUUUUUCUAUUGGUUUGUUUUUCGUGUAAAAUAUACCAAAUCCCUAAGUACAAAAAGCAUACACAUAUUAAGAAAGAUAUUUUUCAUAUACAUCUUUUUUUAAGAUUUAGGAACCCAUGUAUUUGGUAAAUAUUCAAACUAUACUACAGGGUACAAUGCGUGUUUUUCCUGCUCUGACCCCUGGUCUCUCAGUUUCCCUCAAAGCAGUAUUCUUCUAGAUAUGUAUGGAAAUAUACAUGCAACCCUUUUAAAGCACACACUGUUUAUUAUAUACACUGUUCUGUACUUUGCUUUUUUUCAUUUAAUGUGUCUUAAAGGUAUGUAAGUACUAUAGCUCAACUUCAUUCUUUUUAAGUAUUUCGUUGUAUGUACCAUAAUUUAUUUAACUUGUCUUAUGUUGAUCGCUCUGCUCUGGGUUGUCUGUCAUAAAGCCUCCUAAGUCCCAGCAAAGACACAUACAGUACAUGGAUUUAUGUAUAUGUGCACGUGUGUGCAUUGAAGGAAUAAUACAGGCUUCAUUUAUCUUUAGUUGACAAGAUUGUCCGCUAAAGGACUGUUUGCUACCUAUUCUUGUGAUUCGACAUCGAACCACUUGCCCCUUGGCAUGCUAUGGUGUCAGAUGGGGUGUGGUGAUACUCUACUGCAAGCUCACUCACCUUCAGCCUGGUCCAGUGGCGAGGAAGAACUGUGCCAGCUUGGCCUGCGGUCUGCAGUGGCGGCUGCAUUUUCUCGUAGUGCUUGGUGGCCCACCUUCAUGUAUUUUGUGCUUUAGGAUUAUGACUGUUCCUUAAUUUAACCAAAGAUAAGUUUUUCUGGUUUUGUGUGUGUGGUUUUUUGAAUUAGCUACAAAAAGGUGAGAACAGAGAUGUCUUUAAUAUGUUGUUAAAACUGGAAGUUUCUUACUUCUAGAAGAAUCAGCUCUGAAGUUAUUUUGCAUGUUUGAAGAAUCAAAAUUUUAUUAUUUUUUAAUGUAUAUUUGUUUUUAAGAGAGAGAGCCAGCAGGGGAGGGGCAGAGAGUAAGGGAGACAGAGAAUCCCAAGCAGGCUCCACACUGCCAGUACAGAGCCCAACAUGGGGCUCGAACUCACAAACUGUAAGAUCAUGCCCUGAGCCAAAAUCAAGAGUCAGGUACUUAACUGACUGAGCCACCCAGAUGCCCCAGAAGAGUCAAAAUUUUAAAGAUUGUCUUAUAUGCUUCUAUUUUCUUAGCAUUCAUAACUUUACUAUUUUUGGAUUAAUUCUAAACUGGAAGCUUUUUUUAGUGUCUGAGCAAUUGCAUGUUACAAAUUAACAUAGAAGAGUUUUCCUACGGUAUAUCUCCCAGCAACUUUUUUUUUCCUCUGUUAGAAGACUGAAACAAAAAUGUUUGAUUUUCUUAUAUUUUUGCUAUUUUUCAUUGAUUACCACUUUGUCCCAUUUUCUGGAUGUCAGAGAUCUGUUAUUUGGUUUUCCUGUUAGAGACCUGUUAUUUGGCUUAAAAAUACCUUACACAAAACUUUAUUUCUUGAAGUGAGGAAUUUUCCAGGUGAGGGGCAAGUUAGACGUAGCUUUUUGUGAGUUAUUUCUAAUAUAUCCAAAUUCUUGAAGUGGAAAUUUAUAUUGUGGUGGUUAUUGCCUCAUGGUUGCCUUUUGGGGAAUGUCAGAGGGUAGUAUUUUCUCUGUCAUGAUGAUUCCUAAGUAAUGCUUUGAUUUAGUCUAGAAUAGGAGUUGGCAAACUUUCUGUAAAGGGCCAGAUGGUAAAUAUCUUAAGCUUUGCGGGUCAUACUUUCUCUUACAACUACUUACUUUGUAGUUGGAGUGCAGACACAGGUGUAGACAAUACAUAAAUACAUUAAUGUGGCUGUGUUCCAAUAAAACUUUAGUUAUAAAAUAGGUCAUGGCUCAGAUUUUGUCCAGGGACCAUAGUUUGCUUAUGGUCUGUUUUGGGUAGUUUCCUUGAGUAAUUGUGUUUUCUGUUUUUAGGUUCUGAUGCUUAUAGAUGCCAGCUUUGGUUUUGAAAUGGAAACAUUUGAGUUUCUAAACAUCUGUCAAGUACAUGGCUUUCCUAAAAUUAUGGGCGUUCUCACUCACUUAGAUUCCUUUAAGUAUAAUAAACAACUGAAGAAGACAAAGAAGCGAUUAAAACACCGGUUCUGGACAGAAGUUUACCCGGUAGGAAGAGAAUUAGGUUUUGAAUACUAACACUAUAAUCUUAAAAAAAAAAAAUAGGAGGAGUAGGAGAGCUUAACAAACAUCCCUUCAGGAUUCACCUUUGGAAUUUCCUUUAUAUAUCUCUUCUUAUAUAUCAAUUUUUUCUCAAAAUAGUCUGUAUUUCAGAUCUUUUGGUGUAUCUCUUUUACUCUGUAGCCCCCCAGCACCAGGCAGUAUCUGGCUCUAAGUAUUUUACAUUUGUGAUUGUUUAAAAGAGUUUGUCAGAAGUUUCUCGUAAUUAUAGGACCAGCAACUACAGUGCAUACAUAUCGCCACUCCACCCUCCCCUGCAUACUGCUGUGGCUCAGUGUCAUAGAAUUUUUCAUGUGUCUAGGAGCCUCACUGCCCUAUCCAUGCAAUACUCCAGACACCACUACUUGGCUGGAGAGCAGUCUUGAAGCUAAAUGUAUUUGCAGUUCUGACUGUACUAAGCCUUAACAAGAUGAGUCCUGAAAGAGGCGGAGAAGUUCAGGAAACAUUGAGAAGUGGCAUGCCAGAAGUCUCCCUUAGGAUUGUGUCUUAUUUACACAUCUUUAUUUUGAUGUAGUAUUGACAAGAAUUUAAUUGAAAUUUAAUUUUUUGCUUUUUUAAUGUUUAGGGUGCUAAGCUGUUCUACCUUUCUGGAAUGGUACAUGGAGAAUAUCAAAACCAAGAAAUUCACAAUCUGGGCCGUUUUAUUACAGUUAUGAAGUUUAGGCCUCUUACGUGGCAGACCUCUCAUCCCUAUAUCUUGGCAGACAGGUAAAAACUGCAUGUGAAGUUUUUCUUCCUGGCCCAUAUAUUUCAAAGCUACAAAGGUUAGAAAAAGAGCAGUAAUAGAGCUUACUUUGUGCUUAUUUUUUAAUAGUAAGGGGGCAUUGUAGUUGGUGGAAGAGAUCUACUUCUUUGUAUCAUUACCUAAAAAGUGCUGUGGCUUCAGGAGUAAAGUAUGAAACAUUUAGAAAAAUGUGAGGAUUUUGGAGCAUUUAAGGCUAUAAGAUGUGGUCCUAUCCUGCUUUUUGAACCUUAAUUUUCAGUGAUAACUGUCUUUGAAUCAUUGUGCUCCAGUCACCCAGAUGUGUCCUGUGCUUUCUUUCCUUUAUGCCUUUUUUCAAAUUGUCUUCUCAGCCUGGAAUCCCUUUUCUCUUCUUGCCAGAAUUCAAGGCACACCAAAAAACUCAGGUUAAAGCUUCAUCUUCUUCCAUGAAGGGGUUUUCUGGCUAUGUUCUAAUCUCUUCUUGACCCCUGUUGCACAUUAUUUCCCAUUUCUGGUGUCUUAUUCACAGAACAUAUAUCACAUAAAGCCUAAGAGCAAUACAAUCAUUUGUUUGCUUCUUUUCCUCUGGUAGAUGGUGAACUGUGCUUCAUUUUUUCUGUAUUUUCUAUAAUUUUCUAAACAAUAUGUUUAGUGAACUAGUGAAUUUGAGCCAUCUUUGACAUGUGAAGGGAGGUACAAGAACUUUGACAUUUAUUUCUGCUAUAUGAUUGGUUUUUACUUUUCUAGGAUGGAAGAUUUGACAAACCCAGAAGAUAUUCGAAAAAAUAUCAAGUGUGACCGAAAAGUAUCUCUUUAUGGUUAUUUAAGAGGAGCACACUUGAAAAGUAAAAGCCAAAUUCACAUGCCAGGUAUCGUUUUGUUAUAAAAUAUACCUUAUUUGUAGAACCAUUAGGAUGGCUUGCUUCAUUUCUCAGGAAAGCUGAAAAAUGGCCAAGCAAGAUAGAGCUACAUUGCUAGAAGUUUUAAGACUAACCCGACUCUGCCUCAGCUCUCAAAGGUGUUGAGUUGACCAAAUCCCUCUGCUCUGAUGGUGUCAGCUAGCUAGAGAGGCACAGGACCAGUGUCAGAUGAUACCCUUGUGGUUGAAGCCUUCCACCUGUGGGCCAUUUUUGCCAACAGUUGAUACGCCUAUAGCUGAAGCCAUCUUUCUGUGUCUGUCUUCCAGGUGUAGGAGAUUUUGCUGUGAGUGAUGUCAGUUUCCUCCCAGACCCCUGUGCGCUUCCUGAACAACAAAAGAAGCGCUGUUUAAAUGAGAAAGAGAAGUUGGUUUAUGCGCCGCUGUCUGGAGUUGGUGGUGUGCUGUAUGACAAAGAUGCGGUCUAUGUUGAUCUUGGUGGCAGCCAUGGCUUCCAGGAAUCGGUGAGAGGAAAGUCACAGGAAGUGAUGUAGUCAGCUUUUACAUACUGAAGCUUUUUUAUGUCUAUUUGUAAUUAUAGUAAAAACCACAAUGCGUAUUGUAAAUAUACAGAUGAUGUAGUUUUACCAAGGAGAAACUAAAAGUCAUGUCCUCCAUUCUGUUGCCAGUACACACAGGGGAUCCUAGGUCUUCUAGUGUGAACAUUGCAUGCGGUUUGUACUUGUACUUCCUGUCUCUCUCUAUACAAGCAUACCUCAUUUUAUUGUGCUUUGCUUUAUUGCAUUUUGCCAAAAAUUUGCCUUUUUUACAAAUUGAAGGUUUGUGGCAACCCUGUUUCGAACAACUCUGUUGGUGCCAUUCUUUCCAACAGCAUUUGCUCACUUUAUGUCUCUGUGUCACAUUAUGGCAAUUCUAACGAUUGUUUUCAUUAUUAUGUUUGUUACAGUGAUCUGUGAUAAGUGAUUAUCGCUUACUGAAAGGUCAAAUAAUGAUUAGCGUUUUUUAGCAAUAAAGUAUUUUUAAUUAAAGUAUGCACAUUGCUUUUUUAGACAUAAUACUAUUGCACACUUAAUAGACUACAGUAUAGUAUAAACAUUAACUCUUAUAUGCACUGGAAAACCAAAAAAUUCAUUUGACUCAUUUUAUUGUGGUAGUUUAGAACUGUACCCACAGUAUCUCUGGAGUAUGCCUGCACAAUAUCAGUAUGUUUUUUAGCUCUCUUUGGUCUUUCUCUUUUUUUAUUUUUCUCUCUAAACAUAUAUUUAUUUAUCUAGAUUAUAUUAUGUAUAUUUAGAUUAUUACAUGUCAGUACCAUGUAUUUGUGUACAUAUAUGGUCUUUAUGUGUAGGGGUGUCUGUGAGACAGAGAGAAGUAAUAUUAUAUGGGCUUCAACUUUAAAUGCUUUUGCAGCUUUAGGGGGGCACCAAAGAAUAUGUGAUUCCAUUGUUCCCUGUUAGUAUUUGUAGAGCUGCUUUGGUCUUUUUUUAGAGCUGUGUGAUAUUUUGCUGUAUGGAUAAACCUUGUUUAUUGAACCAACCCUUGGCAGUCUGUGGCAGGGGCGCGGGGGGCUACCCCUAGAUUCCCUUGGUUUGAACAUUGCCUCACUUAGUACCCUCGAUUAUGCAGUUUUGCUUAUUGGGAGGGAUCUUUUUAUGCAGUAAAUUCCUUGAGAUGAAAAUUUUGGAUCAAAAGACAGAAUUUUUUUUAAUGGACUCCAGAUUUUCAUUUCUUUAUUCUGCAGAGGGGUUUUAUUGGGCCAGAAUAAAUAUUUUCUGUAGCAUUGGCACUUACGGUUUGUGUAGCUAAGUAUUUAGGUUAUCAGGUUGUAUACUCCAUGAACUGGGAAAGGUUUAAUGAAGACAGAGGUCAAUUUUAGACUUGGUUAUAAGAAUUUUCUUUAUUUUUUAUCUUUUUAUUUGUUUUUGAGGCAGUAAGAAAUGAUUUUAGGAACUAUGUUCAGGAUAAUUUUGAGAAACUGAUUGAAACCAGUGUGUCUCUCUUCAGAAUCCUUGUGUAUUCCUCACUUUCCCUUUCUUGGUGGCCUUGACAGGAUGAGGUGAGGCCCACCCAUGAACUGGUACAGAGCCUCAUUUCCACCCAUUCCACUAUUGAUGCCAAGAUGGCUUCAAGUAGAGUGACACUUUUUUCUGAUUCUAAACCACUGGGAUCUGA